rnacentral:rRNA from 1 species
UACGGGGGGGGGCAAGCGUUGUUCGGAAUUACUGGGCGUAAAGGGCUCGUAGGCGGCCAACUAAGUCAGACGUGAAAUCCCUCGGCUUAACCGGGGAACUGCGUCUGAUACUGGAUGGCUUGAAUCCGGGAGAGGGAUGCGGAAUUCCAGGUGUAGCGGUGAAAUGCGUAGAUAUCUGGAGGAACACCGGUGGCGAAGGCGGCAUCCUGGACCA